UACGUAGGUGGCAAGCGUUGUCCGGAAUUAUUGGGCGUAAAGCGCGCGCAGGCGGCUUCUUAAGUCUGAUGUGAAAUCUCGGGGCUCACCCGAGCGGCCAUGGAAACUGGGAGCUUGAGUACAGAAGAGGAGAGUGGAGUUCCACGUGUAGCGGUGAAUGCGUAGAUAUGUGGAGGAACACCAGUGGCGAAGGCGACUCUCUGGUCUGUAACUGACGCUGAGGCGCGAAAGCGUGGGAGCAAACAGG
rnacentral:rRNA from 1 species